rnacentral:lncRNA from 1 species
CCACUGUCGGUCGACCCUCUGUCGAAUUUUGCAUGAAACUGAACUUCAUUUACGAAAAGCCUCUGACCGAGCUCCUACAGCAAAUGGCCCUCGCCUGUAGUGUUAACGCCCAAAGCACCCAAUGGUAGAAGGCUCGCCAGCAACAUCCUAGCUCCUCUCUGAUGGAUAGCUGCCUCUCUCUGCCAGAUACCUCAAUCAAGCUUCGACCGACAGGCCUGGACUCCUUGGCGGGCCACAGUAAUGGCCACGACUCUGCUCCACUUCCUGCGGCCACAGUAAUGGCCACGACUCUGCUCCACUUCCUGCAAUGAAUUCCGCAUGGCUCCACCACUCUCUGGCA